CCUCAUCUUUAAUGAAGAGUAAAAGACAUUAAUAACACUUUGAUUAACUUUGACAAAAAAAACAUAUCGUUAACUAAUCUAAACUUAAAACGUCAACUAUAAACUCUAAAUCAUCAACUCUAAACCCUAAACCCCGAAACAUCAACUCUAAACCCUAAACCCUAAACCUUCAAAUCUAAACCCUAAAACAUCAACUUUAAACCCUAACGUAAACCCUAAACCCUAAAUCUAAACUUAAAACAUCAACUCUAAACCCUAAAUCAUCAACUCUAAACCCUAAACCAUGAAACAUCAACUCUAAACCCUAAACCUUGAAACAUCAACUCUAAACCCUAAACGUAAACCCUAAACCUUCAAAUCUAAACCCUAAAAUAUCAACUCUAAACCCUAAAUAUAAACCCUAAACCCUAAAUGUAAACUUAAAAUAUCAACUCUAAACCCUAAAUCAUCAACUCUAAACCCUAAACCAUGAAACAUCAAAUCUAAACCCUAAACCCCGAAACAUCAACUCUAAACCCUAAACCCUAAACCUUCAAAUCUAAACCCUAAAACAUCAACUCUAAACCCUAAACGUAAACCUUAAACCCUAUAUUUUUCUGAAAUUCGAACCCUAAACCUUAAAACCCUAAACCUUCAAAUUUAAACUCUAAAACAUCAACUCUAAACCCUAAAUGUAAACCCUAACCCUAAAACCCUAAACCCUAAACCUUCAAAUCUAAAACCUAAAACAUCAAUUCUAGGGUUUUGGGGUUUAAGGUUUAGGGUUUAAAGUUUUGGAUUAAGAGCUGAAGGUUUAGGGUUUAUGGUUUAGAGUUGAUUUUUCUGGGUUUAGAGUUGAUGUUUUAGGGUUUAGGGUUAAUUUUUUAGGGUUUAGGGUUUAGUGUUGAUAGUUUAGGGUUUAGUGUUGAUGGUUUAGGGUUUAGAGUUGAAGUUUAGGGUUUAGGGUUUAGAGUUGAUGUUUUAGGGUUUAGAGUUGAAGGUUUAGGGUUUAGGGUUUAGAGUUUAGAGUUUAGGGUUUAGGGUUUAGGGUUUAAGGUUCGUAUUUCAAAGAAAAGGAUUUAGGACUGAUGGUUUAGGGUUUAGAGUUUAGAGUUAGGGUUUAGGGUUUGAAUUUCGAAAUAGUAUAAUUCGAAAAAAUUAAAAAAUAUAUUUUUUAUUUUUUUAGAUUUUUAUUCAUUUAAAUAUUUAUUUAUUAUAUAUAGAAAGAACAUGGACAUAAGAGUCUUUUGUCACUUAGUGAAGAAUGUAUUUUUGAAAAUGUUCUUUUAGUGGUGGUAAAAAUGAAAAGUAGUAGCAUGAAAGUGGUAAACAUGAAAUUUCCCCUUGAAUAAAUUAAACUCAGAUGAAUUCACGUCCCAUUUUUUUUUUAACAAAUUCAUUGCAAUCUUUCAACAGUUGAAUUAAAUUUUCAAUUACCUCGUUGUACAUAGUCUUAAGGAUCUACAAGAAAAAUCAGAAGUAUAUUUUUCCAAGAAAAAACAAAUUAGCAGUACUGAUUGUCUUUUUUUUUGAACAUUUCUGAUUGAUUAGUUAAACUCAAUAUAUUGCGAUGAAUGGUGACAAUAUAAAAGCGGAUUUCAAAGUGUAUAUCGUCAAAACCGCUUUUAACCACCAAUCAACAUUUUUUUCUCUCAAAACUGUGCAGUUUUAAAAGCCACCAAAACCAAAAACGAAAAUGCUCAAACUAUUAAGGGAGCACUUUACACCUGUACAAAUAUAUAAUAAUCAUGAAAUAACUAGCGUUUUUGGUCAAUUACGCACUUCUUAUGCUGCUAAAUAACUGUUGUUUGUUAUAUAGGGUUCGAAUGUUUACGACCGCCCCGUACCGCACCGCAGUUAACAGUAACAAAAAUCUGUGCAUAAACUAUAUAUCUAUACGUUUUUAUAACUGUUAAAACUGCACCGCAGUUGAACCGCUUGUCCCGCACUGCUCAAACCGCACUCACCAUUCGGAGCCAUAGAGUAUUAAGAUCCGAAUGGUAACAGCGGAUUUGAUAAUAAAAACGGUGCGGAAUUAAAAUGCGGGACGGUACAACUGCGGUUCCUGCGGAAAUUGGAGUACGGCCCGGGAGAACUGUGGUUUUAAGUAAAAAGCAGUGUGGAAUAUUGUUUGAAUUGUGACAAUACAUAUUUGCGGUAUUGAAUGAUUAUUUAACAAAUAAUAUAAUAAUGGUACAUAAUAUAGAAUAUAUUAAAAUAAUAAAAAUAUAUGAAAAUAUUAUAAAUAAUAUAUUAACAUAAUAAAUAUAUUUUAAAAUAAAAAUGUCUUAAAGUGAAAUGUGUUUGAUAAGUGGGGUUUUGAUAAAAUAAGUGAUACAAAAUAAUGUUUGAUUGCUGAAAAAAUAUUUUAUAGUUUUGCUAAAUAAAUAUUAAAAAUAUGUGAAACAAAUUUUUGAUUCCUACUCUCGGGUUCUAGAGAUAUAAGAUUUGUUCUCGUAAUUGGUAGAACCCAAAUCUUAAUCGAUCCUAGAAAAGAAGUUUAAUUUGGUUUGGUUCUCCGGUUCCGUAUAAAUGUACACAUGCCUAUAUAUUCUUAUAUUUAAUAAAGGAAAAUUGCCAAAAAUAUCAUUUUCAAAAUACCACUUUUCAUGUUUGCACUAAUUACUUUUACCUUUAUCUUUAAUGAAGGGUAAAAAAUAUUUAUAACGUUUUGAUUAACUUUGACAAAAAAAAAUUAACUAAUUUAAACUUAAAUCAUCAACUCUAAACCCUAAAUCAUCAACUCUAAAUCCUAAACCACGAAACAUCAACUCUAAACCCUAAACCCCAAAACAUCAACUCUAAACCCUAAACUCUAAACCCUAAACCUUCAAAUCUAAACCCUAAAACAUCAACUCUAAACCCUAAAUCUAAACUCAACACAUCAACUUUAAACCCUAAAUCAUCAUCUCUAAACCCUAAACCCUAAAUCAUCAACUCUAAACCCUAAACCCCGAAAGAUCAACUCUAAACCCUAAACUCUAAACCUUCAAAUCUAAACCCAAAAACAUCAACUCUAAACCCUAAACGUAAACCCUAAACCCUAUAUUUUUCUUAAAUUUGUACCCUAAACCUUUAAAUCUAAAUCCUAAAACAUCAACUCUAAACCCUAAACGUAAACUCUAAACCCUAAAACCCUAAACCUUCAAAUCUAAACCCAAAAACAUCAACUCUAGGGUUUUAGGGUUUAGGGUUUGGGAUUUAGGGUUUAGAGUUUAGGGUUUAUAGUUGAAGAUUUAGGGUUUAGGGUUUAGAGUUGAUGUUUUAGGGUUUAGGGUUAUUUUUAGGGUUUAGGGUUUAGAGUUUACUUUUUAGGGUUUAGGGUUUAGUGUUGAUAGUUUAGGAGUGUCGAUGGUUUAGGGUUUAAAGUUGAAGUUUAGGGUUUAGGGUUUAGAGUUGAUGUGUAAGGGUUUAGAGUUUAGGGUUUAGGGUUUAGAAUUUAGAGUUUAUAGUUGAUGUUUCGACGUUUAGGGUUUAGAGUUGAUGUUUCAGGGUUUAGGGUUCGUAUUUUAAAAAAAAAUAGGGUUUAGGAUUGAUGGUUUAGGGUUUAGUGUUCGUAUUUCAAAAACAAAUAGGGUUUAGGAUUGAUGGUUUAGGGUUUAGAGUUGAGUUUUAGAGUUUAGGGUUUGAAUUUCGAAAUAAUUUCUAAACUCUAAAACUCAACUCUAAACCCUAAACCAUCAAUCCUAAACUCUAUUUUUUCAAAAUACGAACCCUAAACCAUCAAUCCUAAACCUUUUUUUUUUUUGAAAUACAAACCCUAAACCUUGAAACAUCAACUCUAAACCCUAAACCCUAAACAUUCAACUCUAAACCCUAAAACAUCAACUCUAAACCCUAAACACUAAACUUCAACUCUAAACCCUAAACCAUCAACACUAAACCCUAAACUAUCAACACUAAAUCCUAAACCCUAAAUAGAAAAAUCUAAACCCUAAACCCUAUAAAAAUAACCCUAAACCCUAAAACAUCAACCCUAAACCCUAAACCCUAAACCUUCAACUCUAAACCCUAAACUCUAAACCCUAAAUUCUAAACCCUAAAUCGUACAGUUGAUGUUUUAGGGUUUAAAACAUGAACUAGAACCGGGAUUUUAGGACUUGAAUGGAUCGAUUCGUGUCAGUGGAAUGCUAGAAUAUGGAUUACGGAUCGAUUCAACCGAUUGUUAGGCUUAGCAAAUCAAAAUUGCUUCGUAUGAGUUUUUGCAGGUUCCCGCGAAGGAGAAAUCAAUCAUUGAUACACAACUUUCAUCGAUCGAUUGUCACACCGAAUAUCGAUCGAUCUCGCACCAAGCCAUCGAUCCGAACUGAAUUCCUAUUUUUGUUUAUGAUUUUUGGUUGCAGAUGUAUGAAAGGAGAACGAAGCGGAGGUUCGACGUAGGCGGCAGUAGCACAGCUCUACCACCAUCACCGGUUCGGGACCAGGACCCUCGCCACGCGAACGCGAAGACGAACCCAUACCGCUCUUUGACUGUUUCCAUGACACGCGCAAAGCAGCGAAGAGCUUGAAAUGCAGAAACCGCGCAAUAUCAGACUCGUGGGACGACUAUGACAACAUAUUCUUCAACGAGUGGCUGAGGGUUUCUAACAAGCCAACAUGAUUCGUCGACCCGGACGUGAUUCGCUCGCUCGGCAUCAGAUCAGACCUCGAGGACAUGUUCAUGGAUCUGGGUAUGGGAAACAUGGCCACCAACCCACAGGUCCUCUACCCGGAGCUGGUCCGUCAGUCCAUGGCCACGGUGAAGGUCUACUACUGCAACGAGAGGGCAAAGCGAGCGAGCGAGGGCACCUUGACAUUCUUCAUCCGUGGCAUCCGUUACAGAGUCUCUCUCUCGACAUUCUGCACUAUCUACGGGUUCCAGAACGCAGAGCUCGAGCACAUUGUAGUACCCGGUUUUGAAGGGAGAUCUGCGUUUUGGGGACACAUAGCUACAUGCUUCUUCGACUCGGCCUCAGCUCUUCAGACAGACAUCCGUCACCCGACUCUACGAUACUUCAUGAAGGUCCUUGCCAACACUUUUUUGUGCAAGAUGGAACCUAGUAAGGUUCUGGAACAGGAGCUCACAUUGGUCUAUUACGCGGUUAAGAGCUUGGUUCCCUUGGAGGGCAUCGAGGAGCCCGCAGACGACGAGUUUCCCAACCUCGGAGCCAUUUUUGCUGAGCAUCUAGUCAAGGUCAAGAUGUGGCCGUUCCAGUCACCGGGGAAGAAGAAGGAGAUGGUUGGGAGUCUACUUACACCAAUCUUCAUACACUGCGAAGUACCGCUAGAUGAUGCUGCGAUGGACGACCAUAAAAUCUACAUGGAUGCAGCUCACCUCACAAGCGCACAGUGGCUCAAGGACAACCGUUACUGGAAUUGGAAAAUUAAUGAAAACGAUAAAAAGGUAAUUUGUCAUUUUAAAUGAAACAUUUUUGUGAUAUUGGGUUUUAGAGUCUAGAUUGGGAAGAAAAAGUUGAUAUAUGGCUAUUGAAGGUCAUUUCUCUAUACGUAAUUUAUUUUAUUGAUAUGAUCUUCAUAUUUAAAAUUUUAAUCUUACUAAUAUAUAUUUUGUUUUAAAUUAAGACAUUUUUUAUUUUUAUAAUAAUUUAUAGAUAAGAUCUUGAUAUUUAAAAUUAUUGCUCGUUACCUUCAACAUGUAUGUAGAAUAUCAAAUCCUAUAGGAUCUCCUAAAACCUACAAACUUACUAUAUUUUAAGAAGUUAUUAGAUCUUGAUCAGCACAUCCGUGAAUGUUUUAUUUUUUUGUUCUAAAAUAUUCUAAGAAUUAUUAGAUCUUGAUCUUAAAAAUUAUUGACAUAAAUUGUAAUGUUACAUGAUAGAAACAUUUAAAGUUGCGACCUCUAAAAAGUAGUUUAAAUUAAAAAAAAAAUCACACAUGUAAUAAGUAAUGAUUUAUGUGUUUAAUAAAUAAGAUAUUUAUUUUAAAAUUUAAAUAGAAAUAUAUAUUUCUUUCCAACAAAAUCUUUUUUAAAUCUUGGUCAAAUGUAUUUUGGGAAAUUGCCAAAAAUGCAAUUUUCAAAGUACCAGUUUUCAUGUUUAUACUAACCACUUUUACCCUCAUCUUAAAUGAAGGGUAAAAAACAUUUAUAACCCUUUGAUUAACUUUCACAAAAAAAAACAUAUAUUAACUAAUCUAAACUUAAAACAUCAAUUCUAAACCAUAAAUCAUCAACUCUAAACCCUAAACCAUGAAACAUAAUCUCUAAACCCUAAACCCCGAAACAUCAACUUUAAACCCUAAACCUUCAAAUCUAAACCCUAAAAUAUCAACUCUAAACCCUAAAUAUAAACCCUAAACCCUAAAUGUAAACUUAAAAUAUCAACUCUAAACCCUAAAUCAUCAACUCUAAACCCUAAACCAUGAAACAUCAAAUCUAAACCCUAAACCCCGAAACAUCAACUCUAAACCCUAAACCCUAAACCUUCAAAUCUAAACCCUAAAACAUCAACUCUAAACCCUAAACGUAAACCUUAAACCCUAUAUUUUUCUGAAAUUCG
rnacentral:lncRNA from 1 species